CCUACGGGUGGCUGCAGUGAGGAAUAUUGGUCAAUGGGCGGAAGCCUGAUGGAGCAACGCCGCGUGGGUGAAGAAGGUCUUCGGAUCGUAAAACCCUGUUGUUAGAGAAGAAAGUGCGUGAGAGUAACUGUUCACGUUUCGACGGUAUCUAACCAGAAAGCCACGGCUAACUACGUGCCAGCAGCCGCGGUAAUACGUAGGUGGCAAGCGUUAUCCGGAUUUAUUGGGCGUAAAGGGAACGCAGGCGGUCUUUUAAGUCUGAUGUGAAAGCCUUCGGCUUAACCGGAGUAGUGCAUUGGAAACUGUGCGACUUGAGUGCAGAAGAGGAGAGUGGAACUCCAGGUGUAGCGGUGAAAUGCGUAGAUAUAUGGAAGAACACCAGUGGCGAAAGCGGCUCUCUGGUCUGUAACUGACGCUGAGGUUCGAAAGCGUGGGUAGCAAACAGGAUUAGAUACCCUUGUAGUC
rnacentral:rRNA from 1 species